GGAUUACAAACCUCAAGUCUUUCAAAACAGUUUUUUUCAGUGUACUCUGAAAACAAGUAUCUUGUGGAGAAAAUCUUGAACUGAAUUAAUAAAUGCAAACUCCCCCACAGGAAAAAAAAAAAGAAAAAAAAGAAAAAGGAAAAAAAAAAAGAAAAAAAAAAGAAAAAGAAAAAAGAAAUAAAAGAAAGAGAGAAAGAAAGAAAGAAAGAAAGGCGCAGUCAGUGAAGAAGACUGUAUAGUGCAGAUAAAAGAAGUAUAUUCAUCUGCCUCCACACUCUACAGAAUAACUGAGAUAUGGUGUCCACAAUGCUAUGUUUAAAUGAUGAGAAAACUGAUGAGGAAACUGAGAAAGUGUUCAGAGCUUUGCUAUGGAAGAUUCUGUGAGUUCCGUGGAGUCUCAUAAUGUUGGGAAAGGGUACCAGUAUAGUGGAAGCAGGUAUGACAGUAUGAAAAGGUGAUCUCAUUGGCAAUACACUAGAAAAACUGUUCACAAAUUUGAGACUGUGAUCCAAAGAGGCUGAAGUUCCAGAAGUAUGAUAUUUUCAGUACCAUAAUGGGAAUUGCUGAAUUAAAAAAAAGGAAUAAAGCCCAAACAAGCCACUCA
rnacentral:lncRNA from 1 species